GCCGGGCGCAGUAUCUCUGCAGCGGCAGCUCGCUGUCUGUUCGCUUCUCGCUCAUUCGACACACUGAUCUGCGCCUGGCAGACGGGAGGAGGUUGUUGACAGAUGGAUGUCAAGGUUCUGUUCGUAACCUCGGGCCGUGGAUGCUGCUGACGCUGCCUUAUACCAGCUGCCACUUGGCAUUAUGGGUUUCAAAUGGAACCUGGUUUCGUCAGCUGAGACUUCGUUACUUUGACCAUCUGCUGCAGGCAAACGUAACUGGUCUGGCCACCUGUGAGAAUCCUGCAACAUCCCUGCAACUGAUGCCACCGUUGGUGACUUGCAGAACAACAGAUGUCACUGUGAAACUGCCUCUUGGAACGUCGGGGCGCCCGUGGUGGUGGUCGCCGUGGGGGUCGUCGUCGGGGCAUCAGACGUGUCAGCCAGUGGUGGGGCGCCCGUGGUGGUGGUCGUCGUCGUGGCGCCCGUGGUGCUGCUGGUGGUGGUCGUCGUCG